rnacentral:lncRNA from 1 species
CUUAGUAGAAACACCAAGAUGAGUAGGACCUUCCCCGUCCUCACGGAGCCUCCAGGAAAGGACACAGACGCAUUCCAUGCAUUGAACUGCACACGGUGAGCAUUUCUGGACUCAGACAUUUGUCUCUGCCUUCAGGUAGCCUGCGGUCUAACAGCGGCCUCCAGCGCAAAGACAGACGGACGAUGGACCCUAGAACCGAAGGGCGCUGGGGAGACUCUGGGGUGGAGAAGGCAGAAUCAAGGAAGGCUUCUUAGAGGAGGUGGCCUUGGAAGGAAUCUUUAAGGAAUGGGCAGGAGAUGUUAGGGAAGGAGACUUCUUUUCCUCUCUCUCUCUAUCUCUGUCUGUCUCUCUUUUCCUCUCUCAAUCUCUCUGUCUGUCUGUCUUUUUCUCUCUGUCUCCAUCUGUCUGUCUCUGUCUCUCUUUUCCUCUCUCUAUCUCUGUCUCUCUUUUUCUCUCUCUCUCCCUCUAUCACUGUCUCUCUCUCCUUCCCUCUCUGUCUCUCUUCCCUCUGUCUCUCUCUCCCUCUCCCCUCUCUCUCCCUCUCCCCUCUCUUUGUCUCUCUCCCUCUCUGUCUCUAUCUCUCUCUGCCUCUUUAUCUCUGUCUCUCUCUCCUUCCCUCUGUCUCUCUUCCCUCUGUCUCUCUCUCCCCUCCCCUCUCUCUCCCUCUCCCUCUCUUUAUCUCUCUCCCUCUGUCUCUAUCUCUCUGUCUCUUUCUCUGUCUCUCUUCCCUUCCUUCUCUGUCUCUCUCCUCUCUGUCUCUCUCUCCUCCCUUUCUCUCCCCCCUGUCUCUCUGUCUCUGUCUUUAUCUCUCUCUCUCUGUCUCUCUCCCUCUCUCUAUCUCUGUCUCUUUGUCACACUGUCUGUCUCUGUUCCCAUUUCUCUCUGUGUGUGUGUGUGUGUGUGUGUGUGUGUGUGUCUGUCUGCCUGUCUGUCUGUCUGUUUCUCUCAUUCUCUCUCUAGCUGGGAAAUUCAUGAGACCUGGUGUCACAGCCCACACAAUUAC